AAAGCUGGCAGCAAGCAGGGAAGGCGGCGGCGAGGCUCUCCCUUUUCUUGGCGUAUCCCACCCCGGUGCGAUGCGGAUGGGGCGCAGCCGACGAAGACCCUCACCGCAGCCAGAGGUGUGACGACGGGAUGGUGUGGGGAGGCGGCCGCCAAGGUUGGAUCUGGCCACCCCGCGCACGGAUCUAGCGCGGCGGCGCGCGGCGGCUGGGGGGCAGCGGCGCGGCAGCCCAGGCGUGGCGGCUGCGGCUCGACGGCUGGGAGCGGCAGCGGCAGCUCGACGGCAGCGCGGGGCGGCUCGCGGCUCGGCGCCGCAGCCCGCGGCUCGGCGCGAGGGCAGCUGCAUGCCCCCAUGGCGGCCCUGCAAGGCCUCGCUUCCGGGGUGGGCGGCGGGGCGCGGCAGCCGGACGACGGAGGCGUUGACGGGUUGCGCCGGAGCCGGAGUAGCAGUAGCGUCACCGGCGUCGGUGCAAGCCCAGAUGGCUUUGUAAAGGGAGCUGGCGGCAGUGGGUCGUCUUCCUCGUUGCCGGUCGGCACCCUCGCCCUUCCUGGAGCUCCUCCCCUUCUUUGCGGGGAGUUUCUAGGUUGGAUUGAGGCGGCAGCUCGUCAGCGGGGGAAGCUCAGGCUGCCGAAGCAAUGCCACCUAGUCCUGGGUUCUCCUUCGGCGAAAACUAGCAAGGCAGCCGGCGGGUGGUGGAACGGAGGCGUCCUGGGCCAGCUCUCGGGGGUGGUGUCGGCCGACGGGGGGGCGUCGGUGCAGUGUGGUGGAUGCUGCGUGCUGCCAUCUGUCUGUGUGGGGGUUCUGAGUUGGUGGACGGUGAUCUGCAGUCAAGGGUGUAGGGUAUUAGGCGAAAGCCUAGUCCGGUGGUUCACUGGGCCGGCAGCGGCUACACCUUCGGGCGUCGUAACCUCCUUGGGGCGUUGUCGAGGAUGGGCGAUGGCGGCAUCCUUGGAUGUGGUGACCACCGUGGUGGCAUCAUUUUCAGAGCCUUGUCUGUGUGGUGUUGCCGUAGGCCUAGCGGCGUUCGGCCACGCUUAG
rnacentral:lncRNA from 1 species